rnacentral:rRNA from 1 species
AGAGUUUGAUCCUGGCUCAGAUUGAACGCUGGCGGCAGGCCUAACACAUGCAAGUCGAGCGGAUGAGUGGAGCUUGCUCCAUGAUUCAGCGGCGGACGGGUGAGUAAUGCCUAGGAAUCUGCCUGGUAGUGGGGGACAACGUUUCGAAAGGAACGCUAAUACCGCAUACGUCCUACGGGAGAAAGCAGGGGACCUUCGGGCCUUGCGCUAUCAGAUGAGCCUAGGUCGGAUUAGCUAGUUGGUGAGGUAAAGGCUCACCAAGGCGACGAUCCGUAACUGGUCUGAGAGGAUGAUCAGUCACACUGGAACUGAGACACGGUCCAGACUCCUACGGGAGGCAGCAGUGGGGAAUAUUGGACAAUGGGCGAAAGCCUGAUCCAGCCAUGCCGCGUGUGUGAAGAAGGUCUUCGGAUUGUAAAGCACUUUAAGUUGGGAGGAAGGGCAGUAAGCUAAUACCUUGCUGUUUUGACGUUACCGACAGAAUAAGCACCGGCUAACUUCGUGCCAGCAGCCGCGGUAAUACGAAGGGUGCAAGCGUUAAUCGGAAUUACUGGGCGUAAAGCGCGCGUAGGUGGUUCAGCAAGUUGGAUGUGAAAGCCCCGGGCUCAACCUGGGAACUGCAUCCAAGACUACUGAGCUAGAGUACGGUAGAGGGUGGUGGAAUUUCCUGUGUAGCGGUGAAAUGCGUAGAUAUAGGAAGGAACGCCAGUGGCGAAGGCGACCACCUGGACUGAUACUGACACUGAGGUGCGAAAGCGUGGGGAGCAAACAGGAUUAGAUACCCCGGUAGUCC